GCAUAAUCAUUAGUCUAUUAAUUGUGGACUUGUAUGAAUGGUUGGACGAAGUAUUAACUGUCUCAAUUUUAUAUUUAAAAUUUAAAUUUUAAGUUAAAAUGCUUAAAUUUUUUUAUAGGACGAGAAGACCCUAUAGAUCUUUAUUUUCUUAUUUAUUAAUUAUUUUGGUUUAUUUUUUUUUGAUAAGUAGUAUUGUUUUGUUGGGGUGACAUAGAGAUAAAUUUAACUCUUUAUUUUUUUUUUACAAUUAUUUUUGGUUAUAUGACCUUUUAUUAGUGUUACAAGAUAUAGAUACCUUAGGGAUAACAGCGUAAUUUCUUUUGAGAGUUCUUAUCGACAGGGAAGAUUGCGACCUCGAUGUUGGAUUAAGAUAAUUAUUAGGUGUAGGUGCUUAAUGGUUAGGUCUGUUCGACCUUUAAAUUCUUACAUGAUCUGAGUUCAAACCGGAG
rnacentral:rRNA from 1 species